CAGCAGCCCCGCGGUAAUUCCAGCUCCAAUAGCGUAUAUUAAAGUUGUUGCAGUUAAAAAGCUCGUAGUUGAACCUUGGGUCUGGCUGGCCGGUCCGCCUCACCGCGAGUACUGGUCCGGCUGGACCUUUCCUUCUGGGGAACCUCAUGGCCUUCACUGGCUGUGGGGGGAACCAGGACUUUUACUGUGAAAAAAUUAGAGUGUUCAAAGCAGGCCUUUGCUCGAAUACAUUAGCAUGGAAUAAUAGAAUAGGACGUGUGGUUCUAUUUUGUUGGUUUCUAGGACCGCCGUAAUGAUUAAUAGGGAUAGUCGGGGGCGUCAGUAUUCAGCUGUCAGAGGUGAAAUUCUUGGAUUUGCUGAAGACUAACUACUGCGAAAGCAUUCGCCAAGGAUGUUUUCAUUAAUCAGGGAACGAAAGUUAGGGGAUCGAAGACGAUCAGAUACCGUCGUAGUCUUAACCAUAAACUAUGCCGACUAGGGAUCGGACGGGCUUCUAUGAUGACCCGUUCGGCACCUUACGAGAAAUCAAAGUUUUUGGGUUCUGGGGGGAGUAUGGUCGCAAGGCUGAAACCUAAAGAAAUUGACGGAAGGGCACCACAAGGCGUGGAGCCUGCGGCUUAAUUUGACUCAAACACGGG
rnacentral:rRNA from 1 species